rnacentral:tRNA from 1 species
CAGAAGGUAGUUUAUAUAAAAUAUUAACAUUGGAAGUUAAAGAUCAAGUGGCAUACUUGUCUUCUGA